CUGUGAUCAAUGUGGGGCAGCUUUCCACAGCAGAGUACCCUAAAAAGCCCUCACGCAUUCACACUGGUGAAAGCCAUACAGCUGUGAUCAAUGUGGGGAAACCUUUUCUCAUAGUGAUUCUCAUAAACAACA